rnacentral:rRNA from 1 species
GGAUUGUAAACUUCUUUUAUAUGGGACGAAAAAAGGGUAAUCCUAUCCGUCUGACGGUACCAUAUGAAUAAGCACCGGCUAACUCCGUGCCAGCAGCCGCGGUAAUACGGAGGGUGCAAGCGUUAUCCGGAUUCACUGGGUUUAAAGGGUGCGUAGGCGGGCAGGUAAGUCAGUGGUGAAAUCCUGGAGCUUAACUCCAGAACUGC